AGGAGGUUGAGCUUCAAGAUGUGUUCCAAAUAUAUAUCUAUUAAAAAGAGUCUGUCCCCAACAAUUGGUAGUAUAAUUGGAGGUGUUUCUGUAAUCAUUUUUUUACAUCCUUUUCGGGUUUUUUUAAUUCUGGUCAAAAUGUCAGCGAUUACCUUUUCCACAGCCUUUUCCCAACGACUAUUGUGAAUAUUAUAGGAACCCCUCGGUACUACGACCCCUGGAAGACGUUUACCCUUCAGAAAUUUCAUAGUUUUUGCGAAAAUUAUAUCAUCUCUUAAGAAGUAUAUUGCACCUGGGGGACAUAGAAUACCCCCCAGUAAACGAAGUAAAAUAUGCUGAGAGUACACUGCUGGCUGGGGGGUAUUGCGUUACUACUGUACCCCACAACACGCCUAGGACUCGAUAGUUUUUGAAAAAAUUAUCAGAUUCUCUUCUAAGAAUUAUUGCGGAGAACGGUAUGGAAUACCCCUAGCGAAGGAAAAUUCUAUAACAAUUUCCGGAAAAUCACAAACAACCCAGCAAAGAAGAACUCGAUAACUCUGUUUACCCUAUAGCCUGUGGUACCUAUAAUUCUCAUGGUUUUUUUAAAAAUUGGCAAUGGACCAAUUGUACAAUACUGGGUGGUAUUCCAGGGUGUACCAGGACAACAGAAACCUAAGAAGGAUCCUCCACAGAAAUCGUGAAAAGUUUUCUUAAAUGGUUUCCUGGUACUAGGUAAUGCACAAAAAAUACCUGUUCAGUAGGUAUAACAGAAACGCGAGAAGAUUUUGUACACAGGAAAUAAUUGUUUAACGCAUCUUUUUGUAUUUUAAUCCAAAUAAAAAACUGCAAAUACAUUGCAAUCUGCUAGUAUAAAACCCGAGCGGACGCCACUGGUGGAGUGGAAGUGGUAGCAUGACGCACGAUUACUCUGACGCUUAUCACAGAGACACAGACCAUCAUAGGACUAAAAGCAUAUAUAUACUUCUCUUAUAUAUAUGACUAAAAGCAACAUUUCAAACCUUUUUUACUUUACUUUAAAAGUAUGGAAGGAGAAGAUGACACACUACCCAUUAAAAUCGAACCAGAACACGAAGAAAAAAUUAAUUCUGAUCUUCAAGAUAACAUUUUGGUAAGCAACGAGGCAUUGUUUACAGUAACAAACGAAAUUAGCAUUGGUACACCCCGUUCUGUAUCCUUUUCUAAUGAAGUACCGCAACACUCCGGUUUUCGAGGUCCCGUUUCAACCAAGUAUACAAUUGUAACUAAGGAGUUUAAAUGUGCCGAUUGUGAUUACGGGACAAGUUACAAACGGUACUUUAAACUGCAUCGUUUAACACAUCAGGUUUCUAACCGUUUUAAAUGUGCCGAGUGUGUUUAUGAGACGGGUUAUAAACGCUACUUCCACCUACAUCUUUUAACGCAUCAAGUGUCGAACCGUUUUAAGUGUACUGAUUGUGUUUAUGGGACAAAUGAUAAAGACGACUUCAAACGGCAUCAGUUAACACAUAAAGUUGUUGGCGAUUUAAUUAAAUGUGAAAAGUGUGUUUACGAGACGAAUAAUAAAUACCACUUGAAACGACAUCUUUUAACACAUAACGAUUCGAAGGAGUUUAAAUGCGCCGAUUGCGAUUACGAGACAAAUUAUAAAUCCGAUCUUAAACAGCACUUUUUAAAACAUAAUGUUUCAAAGGCUUUUAAAUGUGGUGAUUGUGAUUUUGAGACUAACAGUAAGUACUACUUUAACCAACACCUUUUAAAACAUAAGGUUUCGAAGGAUUUCAAAUGUGAUCAGUGUGAUUAUGCGACAAACAUUAAAAAGUACUUCAAAGUUCACCUUUUAAAACAUAAAGCUUCUAAGGAUUUGAAAUGUGCUCAUUGUGAUUUCAAGACGAAUUAUAAAUCCAUUCUUAAAAGACACAUUUUAAGACAUAAAAGAGUCUAAAGUUUUUGAAUGUGGUAGGUAAUCGUGAUUAUGAGAUAAAUAUUGGAUUGGACUUUAUGGUGAUAAAAUCUUUUCGGAUCGGAGAUGUCAUGAUCUUACUUGACAAUGGUACGAUCGUUUGAAUCAACCUUGUCGUCCGCAAUGCGUUUGUCUAUUUGUAAUUUGUAUUAAUAAUUGAAUUUUUAACAUUUCCCAUAUUACUGUGAGGUUCAUAAUCGAUCAUCUGAUUGGUGUGGCUUUUCCAAGUUGUUUUUGUUUUAAAUAAAUAUCAGUUGUAAUUUC